UGUUUACCUGCCGUAUCCCUGGCAACUUGGUCCUUUAAAAACCAUUGUCAAAAUUUUGUGCAUAUUUCAUUCCCCCCUAUUGAUUAACGUGUUUAUUUACUCUCCAGAGAUUUGAGCCCUUUUGUUAAGCUUGCUUUUUAGCGCUCAUGUCGCCACAGUCUGAAAAGUUUUAUUUCGUUCAACUACUUAUUUCAUCGCCAAAUGGAUGUAAUCGACGGAAAUGUUGCAACUUUUAGUGUAACGAUUGUAUGUUAAUUAUAUAUCUGAUAUGAACGUAUCUCUUAAAACUUUCUGUUGGUAAA